rnacentral:rRNA from 1 species
CCGUGAGGAGUUGGGUUAAGUCCGCAACGAGCGCAACCCUAUUGUUAGUUGCCAUCACAUAAUGGUGGGCACUCUAAUGAGACUGCCCGGGUCAACCGGGAGGAAGGUGGGGACGACGUCAAGUCAUCAUGGCCCUUACGGCCAGGGCUACACACGUGCUACAAUGGUGCAUACAAAGGGUUGCGAAACCGCGAGGUCAAGCCAAUCCCAAAAAAUGCAUCCCAGUCCGGAUCGGAGUCUGCAACUCGACUCGCGUGAAGUUGGAAUCGCUAGUAAUCCGCGGAAUCAGCAAUGUCGGGGUGAAUACGUUCCCGGGCCUUGUACACACCGCCCGUCACACCAACUGAGAGAGCUGGGUUCUAACCAGAACAGUGGCGAGAUCUAAACCCUUCGGGAAGGUAGGUCUAUCUACGGUAUGAGCUCGAGUGACUUGGGGUGAAGUCCGUAACAAGGUA